rnacentral:rRNA from 1 species
AUGGAGAACUUGGUUAAAGUGCUUAGCGAAUGGGAAAUCCAGUUGCUAGUUCUUCUAAGUUUUACCCUACAGGUGUUCCUCUUCUUUAAUGGCGGAGCUCGGCGAAAUAGCACUGAUGCGUUGCUUAGGUUUUCUUUGUGGGUAGCAUAUCUUGGUGCAGAUUUGGUAGCAAUUUACGCCUUGGGAUUCCUCUCACGGCACAAGGAUGACACCAUUGGAAAGGAUACAUUAACGAAAGCACAUCCACUUGCUUUCCUCUGGGCACCUUUCCUCCUCAUGCACCUUGGUGGGCAGGACACUGUAACCGCAUUUGCCAUUGAGGACAACAACUUGUGGUUAAGGCAUCUUUUGAAUCUGGUCGUUCAGGUAGGUGUGGCCUUGUAUGUGUUCUGCGGGUCCAUGAUGGGUCGCAGCCACCAUAGUGUGCUUCUUCCAGGUAUAUUUGUGUUCAUUUCUGGAAUUAUCAAGUACAGCGAGAGGACAUUGGCUCUCAUGUAUGGGGACCUAAAGAACGAUAGCCAAAAUACCAUUGGAAAUGUAAACAAUGAGGACUUGAAUAGGCUUGUGGUUCAUGGCAGAUACCUUGGCAUUUUUGCUGCUGUUCUGAAGUCCGCACCAGGCAUCCGAGCACUCUUUGCUGGACGCACCUUGCACCAGAUGGAAGUUCACCACCGAGAGGUAGUGACAUCACAUAUUCAUAUGGGCCAUUUACCCAAGUUGCUGGAGGUUGAGCUUGACUUGAUGUAUGAUGAUAUCUACACCAAGGCUAUGGUGCUUCGGACAAAGAGUGGCAUUUUAUUCCGGUGUGUAUCUCAAGCAUCUAUGGGGGUUGCCUUUGUGCUCUUCAUUGUCAGCAAUAAGCACCCAUACAAUAGAGAAGACCUUGCAAUCACAUAUGUGCUAUUCAUAGGAGGUUUCUGUCUAGAAAUUUGUGCAGUAUUUAUCUUGUUGAUGUCACCAUGGACAUGGGCAUGGUUGAAGGCUCGAAAUUGGCAUUGGCUGGCUCGCAUCUCCUCGUCUCUUCUGUGCAGCGACAUUGGACGGCCCAAGAUCAGGCCUUUGUGGUCAAAUUCCAUGGGGCAAUACAACUUUUUGUGCUACUUAGGUUGUGAUCAACACUCAAGCUGGCUAUCCAGGCUGGUGAAGAAAGUGACCAAGAUAUCAAGCCUAGUGGUCAGCAGAAACAAAGAGGUAAAGCCACUGUUGUGGACGAGCAAGUUAUUGGACACAAAGCACGUUGAGGUGGAUAAGGAGAUCAUGGACUCUCUUAUAUGGAUCGUCUGCCAUUACAGUCCAGAUGAAUCACCAAUGGAUGCCAGGGAUUGGCCGAAGCUUGGCCCAUUGCUGAAUAAGUUACUACCGGACUACGGUGCAAGUUUUGGUUAUGCUAUUGUGUGCUUUCAUAUAUUCACAGAGGCACACCUAAGAAGUCUCUUACUCCCGGAUCUUUCGGAUCGAGAAAAAGUUUUGGUGAGUGCUUGCCGGAAGUUGUCCAACUACAUGCUCUACCUUCUGGUCACAUAUCCUGAGAUGUUGCCGGUCAGUGGUACUCCAGAACCCACAUUGCUAUUCUUUCUUCGGAAAACUAUUCCACAUGUUUCUGACAGGGGUGCCAGUGCUGACAUUUUGCCUAUGGUCAACGAGCUAUUAGUAGAGUUGGGGCUAAUUGAAGUUGAUUUAAGCGGCACAGAAACAUUAAAUGAGAUGAGAGACUUAUGGACAAGGUUGCUCAUCUACUGCGCUGGUAAAUCCCGUGCAGAGAUGCACGCCGCACAGCUGAGCAGAGGAGGGGAGUUUCUCACAUUUGCUUGGUUGCUCAUGGCCCACAAAGAACUAGGGGAUGUCGGUCGGGCCUUCAAUUUCAAUUUUACAAGCCCACCCACACCCCCACCCCUACCCCGUCUUUGGAGUCCGCCUCUCCCACAUCCUCAGCCGAGAACGACGACACGUAUUGUUGAGAGGGUAACGACCAUCAAGCCGGAUGAUGGAACAGCUCCGUCCACCCAGCCAUCCUAUGAGCCAUGGAAACCGGUCUCUCGGUGA